GGACUACUGGGGUAUCUAAUCCUGUUUGCUACCCACGCUUUCGUGUCUCAGCGUCAGUCGUGGUCCAGUAAGCUGUCUACACCACAGGUGUUCCUCCUGAUAUCUACGCAUUUCACCGCUACACCAGGAAUUCCGCUUACCUCUCCCACACUCUAGCAUCCCAGUUUCCGGCGCACCCUCCCAGUUGAGCCGGGAGAUUUCACACCAGACUUGGAACACCGCCUACACACUCUUUACGCCCAGUAAUUCCGAACAACGCUCGCUGCCUACGUAUUACCGCGGCUGCUGGCAC
rnacentral:rRNA from 1 species